rnacentral:tRNA from 1 species
GCCCAUGUGGUGAAACUGGUAGACACGCUAUCUUCAGGUGGUAGUGCCUUCGGGUGUGUCGGUUCGACUCCGGCCAUGGGCA